UUUCUUAUGUCUACAUUUAGAGCCCUCAGAAAAUUAGUCAACAGUCAACAGAAUGAAUGGGAUGUGUAUCUGGGUGCUAUACUGUUUUCUUUGAGGUCUAAGGUCCACACCACAACCAAAUACACACCAUUUCUUUUAAUGUAUGGGAGAGAAGCAACUUAUCCUUCAGAAGUUCCUGUUGAAGUACCUGUAAGUGUUUAAAGAAUUCUGUCUAUCCAACUACUGUGAUUAUACAUAAAUGUCAUCUUAAUUGGAAAGAGGAUGUAUCGAUACUGCCAUGGCUGCAGAUUUAAUCUUUUCUGCUUAAUUUCUAAAUGCAAGACACAUUUUACAGAUAAAUUAAGUGACUAAUCAGCCUUUGUUCUUUACAUUUGUAUCUUAAUUUAAGGUUACCAAUAGUGAGGAGAACUUUCAGUAUGAUAAUGUGUUCACCUGUACAAGUGUAUCAAGUGUAAAAAGUGAUCAUAAAAAGUGUUAAUAAUACAAAAAUUAUAGGUAUCUAUCUCUUUUGUGGCAUUUUGGGCUCAAAGCUGUGUAAUAGUAUAAUUAGUUUUAAACAUUAGUUAUGUAAACAUUAGAAAAUAAAUGAAAUUACUUUUUCGGUUCAUGUUGCACAUGCGUUAUUUGCCUUUGCAAUUUUAAUUGUUAAUUAAAAAUUGUAAAUUUUAGCUAUCCUCCAUCAUUCUCCCUGAGGAGUCAAGUUACAGUGACUUUGUAUAUUCUACAAGAGACGCACAGGAUUUAGUUAAAAAAACUGUAGAAGAAAAUAUAGCAAAGUCCCAAGAAAUGCAAAAGGAAGCCUAUGCUAGACGAGUACAGAAGAAGUACAAAAACAUUGUAUACAAUGUUGGAGAUGAAGUUCUUCUCCUGAACAUGAGGAAACGUGGAAGGAAGGGAGGAAGACUUGAUCCAGAUUUUUCAGGUCCCUACACCAUUCAGGACAUCUCUGGUAAAUGUGUUAGAUUAAAAAACACUGAGGGAGCUACUUUAAAAAAUCAGUACAGCAUUGACCAUAUUAAGCCGUACAGAAGGACCCACUCUGUAAAUGUCAGUGACAAUGAAAAAUGUCCAACUCGCAGUCAGCCAGUGAACAGCCUUACAAACCUCAAGAUGCCCCCAUGCCAUCCUACCACUAGCCCUCAGUAUCAGCAAAUUCCAGAAGAUACCAGACCCUCUGUUAUUCAUUACGCACCAAAAACAGCUGACAAAAGUUGUGCCUCCCACCAAGAGGUAAAUUCAGUACCAGCACCAGAAAAGCUUGAACCAGAAUCUCCCUCCUUGCAACAAAGCACAGAAGAUGAAGGUGGCAUAGCUGAAAAUUUCAUUUUGACCAGUUGGUCAUUUGUUGCCAGUUUGCCGUUCCAACUUGGUUCACUGUUGCUUGCAUGUUUGCUGCUAAUACUUCAUUGUAUUGUCUUAUCUUGGCUCUUUUGACCUGUUGGUCAGUUUAGCUAUCUGAUUUACAGAGGGUGGACAUGUGCCGGCUUACUAAAAAGGAAAGUUCUGGUCUAAGGAGAACAGAGAUCUAAAUCUCUGGGCACCUGGAUAUAUGCUGUCUUCAACUCAUAUUGAAUGUAAUGCAAUAGACAGUCAGCUUGUGGAAGUCCGCAAAUGGAACAGUCUGUCAGUAAACUUUUCUCUUUUGUCCACCCCCUGUACCUUUCCUAUUUCUCUGCGUGAAACCACAUGUUCAUUGUGUUGUCUCUUGUCCAGUUGUAGCCCGUUGGCCUUAACCCAGGUUUUCAACUAAAAUUCUCAUGCCCAAACUAACAUCAUAUUUUUCUUUUAGUAAAGAGGCUAUGGGCUGCUAAGGAUACUGGGCGCUUGGAGUCAGUUGUCGGACCAUACAAGCUGUAUGAUUCUUCUUUUCGAACACUGCAGGGGUCUGGGUGGCUUUCUGAUGAGGUAAGAGAAGUUAUCAUUAUUGUGAUUGAUUCCCACUUUGAAGUGCUGCUCCUUCUACAGUUUUUGCCGUAGAGACACCAUUAAUGGCUUAAAAUGUGUGGGUAGAUGGGGGAGUUUAGAUAGCAAAACCACAAGCAUCUUCUUCCCCUCAGAUUUCUCCCAUGGACUUCAAUAGGAAAGAGUGCCAUCAACCACAACACAGAUCCCCUCUGUGACAUCAUAAUGUCCAGUUCCACUAUAUGCAGAAAUAACCUUUAUCAGCAUUCCUUUCUAAUUUUUGCACACAGCAAUCAAGCAGUUUCUUCAGAAAUUGCUGUUGUUAGUGUAUAAACUGUCUUUUUUCCAAACAGGUAAUUGAUGCAUGCCUGCACCGUCUCAUUGAGAAACAAAAGGCAAUUAAGAAAUAUGUUUACCCAGUUAUUUUGAAAUAUACAAAUAUUUAAUUUUUUAUAUGUUCUAUAACAUUUUUGUAUACUUUUACAGAACACUGUACACCUGCUGUGUUCAGUUGUUGCAACCUCGUUGUUCUCUGGGCAGUUUAGAUGCGUCAGCAAGAUGAAGUUCCCAGUUGAAGACAUUUGGCUGUGCCCUGUGAACUUUGGUACACACUGGAUUCUUGUGAUUGUCAACAUCUUAGCGAGGACAAUACUGCUCAUAGACCCCAUGGGGAAUGAAGGUUUUUAUGAAAGGAAAAUUCUGCGCAACUGGAGGAAUUUUCUGAGGAUGAGAGGGCACGAAGACGCCAAAACGGAGUGGCAGUUACAGACUCUGCAGCACAAUAAGCAACAGGAUUCCAACAGUUGCGGAGUUUUACUGUUAAAAUUCGCAGAACACUACCUUGCAUUUGGAGAGGUCAGUGAGGUGCUCACCACUAUGGAAGCAGUUGCACUGGAGCGAAUGCAGAUAGCUUGCAGAUAGCUUGCACCCUACUUGAACAUCGAGGGAAUGCUGAGGACCACUGCAUUGUUUGUUCUACGUUAGAUGCUGAAGCUGACCGCAGCAUGAUUGAAAUGGUGCAGUGUGAUUCUUGCCACAGAUGGGCACAUUUUGAAUGUGCAAAAUAUAAGUAGAGCCACCUAGAAUACAAAUGCAAAAAAUGUGAGGAAAGCAUGUAACAGGUUCUUAUAAAUAAAAUUUCCC